AACGAACGCUGGCGGCAUGCCUAACACAUGCAAGUCGAACGAGACCUUCGGGUCUAGUGGCGCACGGGUGCGUAACGCGUGGGAACCUGCCCUUAGGUUCGGAAUAACUCCCCGAAAGGGGUGCUAAUACCGGAUAAUGUCUUCGGACCAAAGAUUUAUCGCCUUUGGAUGGGCCCGCGUUGGAUUAGCUAGUUGGUAGGGUAAAAGCCUACCAAGGCGACGAUCCAUAGCUGGUCUGAGAGGAUGAUCAGCCACACUGGGACUGAGACACGGCCCAGACUCCUACGGGAGGGAGCAGUGGGGAAUAUUGGACAAUGGGCGAAAGCCUGAUCCAGCAAUGCCGCGUGAGUGAUGAAGGCCUUAGGGUUGUAAAGCUCUUUUACCCGAGAUGAUAAUGACAGUACCGGGAGAAUAAGCUCCGGCUAACUCCGUG
rnacentral:rRNA from 1 species